CUGAACCGGACUUAACUCUAAAAGCACCACUUUCUCGUAAACUCUUGCCCCUUCUUUUUGUGAAGGGGAGAAGAAUCUGAUCAAGACUUGGACCAUCUCCCAGUAUUUUAUGGCUUUGAGAUCUAGCAAGAGGCUUGGGUUCCUCACGAUACAAGGCAUGUAGUUCUGCAUCACUACGUGUUCUUUUGAGAACACCUCCCAAGUCUUUUAUUGC
rnacentral:misc_RNA from 1 species